rnacentral:lncRNA from 1 species
UUCGUUCACCACUAACGAUGAUUUACAGUGAUGUUGACACAACUCUCUUUUGUGUUCUAACUUUUUCUAUAUUUUGUGAUACUUGUAAACUCAAGAAUAUAGUGUUUGUGCUAAGAACUAGAGAGACCUAGAAGAUAAUGUUUGUAGUUGCGCAAAUCUUCUUCUUGAGAUUUACAAUCUUCUUAAAUGAGAGUUUGAGAGCCGUUGCAAAUUGGUCUUGAUUGAGGCACUAAGUCUUCUAAGAGAUUUGACCCAAGGGGUGCCUCUGAAUCCUGCACUUUAGAUGGGCUAGAUUCAUUUAUGUCUUUCCUUUUCAUAUCCUCAUUUUAUGGAGUGACUUUAGGCUUCAAAAUGGCUGGUCAAUCUUCUAAUAUAGUCCAUGACGAGAGGCCCGAUAUGGUCGAGCUGCACUUGAUAUAUUUCCCUUGUUAGACAUCCUCGAUGUCCUUUGAUUGAGACUGAGAUGGCGAGACUAAUUUGGUUUCCUUUUUGAUGGCUUGAAUUCCUUUAAUUUAGCAUCAUCAACUCUGGAAAUCCUUUGUUGUAGCAUCAUCAAAUCUUCGAUCUUCUCUUCUAUUUGUUGAUGCCCUUGAUGGUGCCUUUAUUCCUGCAAUCGAAGUAGAUAGAAUUAAGCAUUGCAAAAUUAUCAUCAUUGAAACUUAGAUUUAACACAUAUUUCAUGCACCCCAUCCAAAUAACCAAUGUUCAAAACUCUAUUUUUCUUCAAAAAUUUAAUUAUUU